AAUGUCAACUAUCAUUAUACUGACAUUUGAAGUUGUUGUUUUUUUCUAAAUUACCUCCCUUAUAUAUGCAUUUUUCUUCAUUCAUUUUAUUGAUAAUUACUUCCCUUUAUGUUUAGCAAAAAUUCUCAGAUUGCAUUUAAUUAACUCCCUUUAUUUAACAUGAAAAAUUCUCUUGUGUAAUGAUUAUUUGUAUAUUUUACUUACAGUGUCUGAUACAUGUAGUUGCAGUCUGUCUUUGGAAGCUGUAGAAAUAACAAGAAAGAGGCUGACAUAGUGUUUUGGUAGGGAAAAGUUUGAGUAUGUACAUGUACAGUUGUUUGACCUGUCUUACCCUGUGGCAGUCCAAGAAGAUGUUACCAUUAUGAAAAAUGUAGGAGAACUUGAAGACAAUGGUUAGUGCAGAAGGGACAUAAAAGUUAUGAUAAAACUAACAGAUAUAAAUAAG